rnacentral:lncRNA from 1 species
GGAACGAGAAUAAUGUGGAUGCUGACAAAAAGUUUUAAACACAUGAAACGAGAAUAAUGUUGAUGCUGACUAAAAGUUUUAAACACAUGGAACGAGAAUAAUGUUGAUGCUGACUAAAAGUUUGAAACACAUGGAACGAGAUUAAAGUUGAAGCUGACAUAAGUUUGAUACACAUGGAACGAUAUCAAUGUUGAAGCUGACAAAAAGUUUUAAAACAAUGGAACGAGAAUAAUGUGGAUGCUGACUAAAAGUUUUAAACACACGGAACGAGAAU